GGGCUGAAACGCCCAUCUGAAGGAGGAUUUAGCAGUAAGCAGGAAAUAGAGCGUCCCGCUGAAACUGGCCCUGAAGCGCGCACACACCGCCCGUCACUCUCCCCAAAAACACCCGCCAUUUAAGUAAAACCUAAAAAUCAAAAAGGGGAGGCAAGUCGUAACAUGGUAAGUGUACCGGAAGGUGCACUUGGUAAAAUC
rnacentral:rRNA from 1 species